rnacentral:rRNA from 1 species
GAUCAUGGCUCAGGAUGAACGCUGGCGGCGUGCUUAACACAUGCAAGUCGAACGAUGAAGCCCAGCUUGCUGGGUGGAUUAGUGGCGAACGGGUGAGUAACACGUGAGUAACCUGCCCUUGACUCUGGGAUAAGCCUGGGAAACUGGGUCUAAUACCGGAUAGGAACGUCCACCGCAUGGUGGGUGUUGGAAAGAUUUAUCGGUCAUGGAUGGACUCGCGGCCUAUCAGCUUGUUGG